AUGAAGCAGGACUUACGUUGUCGGCGAUCGAUACCAAAAGGUUCCUCAUGUUUAGAAUCGUCUUUCACUCUGAGCUUGGACCCAUGCGAACUUAUGGUCGCCACCAGAAGCAGCAACAGGCAGAUGUUAAGUUUGACACCCAUGGUUCAAGUUUUGUUCUGAGCGAGGUGAAACACUGAGCUUGAAGAGUUCAGUAUGGCGCCAAUCACUUAAAACGCGCCCUUUAUGUGCUUUCCUUUGCAAACCCAUGACGUCAAUGUCGUGUUAAGUACUCUCGGAAUAAAGCGCCUGUGUA